rnacentral:rRNA from 1 species
UACGAAGGGGGCUAGCGUUGCUCGGAAUCACUGGGCGUAAAGGGUGCGUAGGCGGGUUUUUAAGUCAGAGGUGAAAUCCCGGGGCUUAACCUCGGAACUGCCUUUGAUACAGCAUAUCUUGAGUCCGAUAGAGGUGGGUGGAAUUCCUAGUGUAGAGGUGAAAUUCGUAGAUAUGCGGAGGAACACCGAUGGCGAAGGCAAUCCCCUGGGCCUGCACUGACGCUCAUGCACGAAAGCGUGGGGAGCAAACAGG